rnacentral:rRNA from 1 species
GAUGAAUGCUGGCGGCGUGCCUAAUACAUGCAAGUCGAGCGGUAAGGCCCUUCGGGUACACGAGCGGCGGACGGCUGAGUAACGCGUGGGAACAUGCCCCAAAGUGAGGGAUAACGCACCGAAAGGUGUGCUAAUACCGCAUAUGGUCUUCGGAUUAAAGGAUUUAUCCGCUUUGGGAGUGGCCCGCGUACGAUUAGAUUGUUGGUGAGGUAACGGCUCACCAAGUCGACGAUCGUUAACUGGUCUGAGAGGAUGAUCAGUCAGACUGGAACUGAGACACGGUCCAGACUCCUACGGGAGGCAGCAGUAAGGAAUCUUCCACAAUGGGCGAAAGCCUGAUGGAGCAACGCCGCGUGCAGGAUGAAGGCCCUCGGGUCGUAAACUGCUUUAUGAGUGAAGAAUAUGACGGUAACUCACGAAUAAGCACCGGCUAACUACGUGCCAGCAGCCGCGGUAAU